rnacentral:tRNA from 1 species
AGGGGAGGGACACCCAGCAAGAACUGCUAAUUCUCGCACCUGAGCCUAAAACCUCAGUCCCCUU